AGAGAAGCAAUACCGCGAGGUGGAGCAAAAACUUCAAAAAUAGGUCUCAGUUCGGACUGUAGGCUGCAACUCGCCUACACGAAGUUGGAAUUGCUAGUAAUCGUGGAUCAGCAUGCCACGGUGAAUACGUUCCCGGGUCUUGUACACACCGCCCGUCACACCAUGGGAGCUGGUAACACCCGAAGUCAGUAGUCUAACCGCAAGGAGGACGCUGCCGAAGGUGGGAUUAGCGACUGGGGUGAAGUCGUAACAAGGUAAC
rnacentral:rRNA from 1 species